GUAGUCAUAUGCUUGUCUCAAAGAUUAAGCCAUGCAUGUCUAAGUAUAAGCAAUUAUACGGCGAAACUGCGAAUGGCUCAUUAUAUAAGUUAUCGUUUAUUUGAUAGUACUUUCCUACUUGGAUAACCGUGGUAAUUCUAGAGCUAAUACAUGCUAAAAAUCCCGACUUCGGAAGGGAUGUAUUUAUUAGAUUAAAAACCAAUGCCCUUCGGGGCUCACUGGUGAUUCAUGAUAACUUCACGGAUCGCGCGGCCUUGCGCCGGCGAUGGUUCAUUCAAAUUUCUUCCCUAUCAACUUUCGAUGUUUGGGUCUUGGCCAAACAUGGUUGCAACGGGUAACGGAGGGUUAGGGCUCGACCCCGGAGAAGGAGCCUGAGAAACGGCUACUACAUCCAAGGAAGGCAGCAGGCGCGCAAAUUACCCAAUUCCGAUACGGGGAGGUAGUGACAAUAAAUACUGAUACAGGGCUCUUUUGGGUCCUGUAAUUGGAAUGAGUACAAUUUAAAUCCCUUAACGAGGAACAAUUGGAGGGCAAGUCUGGUGCCAGCAGCC
rnacentral:rRNA from 1 species